rnacentral:rRNA from 1 species
GACGAACGCUGGCGGCGUGCUUAACACAUGCAAGUCGAACGGUGAAGCGCCUUCCUUUUUGGUGGGUGUGGAUGAGUGGCGAACGGGUGAGUAACACGUGAGUAACCUGCCCCCUUCUUCUGGAUAACCGCAUGAAGGUGUGGCUAAUACGGGAUAUUCUGGGUCUGUCGCAUGAUGGGUCUGGGAAAGAUAUUGUUUCGGUGGGGGAUGGGCUCGCGGCCUAUCAGCUUGUUGGUGGGGUGAUGGCCUACCAAGGCGGUGACGGGUAGCCGGCCUGGGAGGGUGGACGGUCACACUGGGACUGAGACACGGCCCAGACUCCUACGGGAGGCAGCAGUGGGGAAUAUUGCACAAUGGGCGCAAGCCUGAUGCAGCGACGCCGCGUGAGGGAUGGAGGCCUUCGGGUUGUGAACCUCUUUCGCCAGUGAAGCAGGCCUGCCUCGUUUGUGGGUGGGUUGACGGUAGCUGGAUAAGAAGCGCCGGCUAACUACGUG